UACAGAGGUCUCAAGCGUUGUUUCGGAUUCAUUGGGCGUAAAGGGUGCGUAGGUGGCGCCGUAAGUCGGGGUGUGAAAUUUUCGGAGCUUAACUCCGAAACUGCAUUCGAUACUGCGGUGCUUGAGGACUGGAGAGGAGACUGGAAAUUUUACGGUGUAGCAGUGAAAAUGCGUAGAGAUCGUAAGGAAGACCAGUGGCGAAGGCGGGUCUC
rnacentral:rRNA from 1 species